AUGCAGAUAGGAGCGAAAGAGCUGAAAGGACUUUUAAAGGCCGCGGAUUCCAACCUCUACCAUACAGAGGCCUUAAGUGUUUCGGUGAGGCGCCCAAGGAUUCACAGGAAAGGGGCAAAAUCAGAACCCCGCUCUCCUGACUCUGCCCACUCCCCGGUGGCUAGGGUGGGCCUGCCUCCUCCUUACCCAGCUCCUUCCCUCUCCUCGGCGCCUGUGGCACUGAUUAGAACAGCUCCCCACAAAGACACCCAUUUAAAAAACAAACAAAACCCAAGUGUGUUAAUACCUAUAGUACUUCAUAUAGAAUGUACUCUUAAGACUUCAUAUUUAUUGCUCCAAGUGGACACCACUGGAUGCCAAUAAAGACUCAUUUUUCCCCCUA
rnacentral:lncRNA from 1 species